rnacentral:rRNA from 1 species
CCUACGGGUGGCAGCAGUGAGGAAUCUUGGUCAAUGGGCGCGAGCCUGAACCAGCCAAGUAGCGUGAAGGAUGACUGCCCUACGGGUUGUACACUUCUUUUAUAAAGGAAUAAAGUGAGGCCCGUGUGCCUUUUUGUAUGUACUUUAUGAAUAAGGAUCGGCUAACUCCGUGCCAGCAGCCGCGGUAAUACGGAGGAUCCGAGCGUUAUCCGGCUUUAUUGGGUUUAAAGGGAGCGUAGAUGGGUUGUUAAGUCAGUUGUGAAAGUUUGCGGCUCAACCGUAAAAUUGCAAUUGAUACUGGCAGUCUUGAGUACAGGUGAGGUAGGCGGAAUUCGUGGUGUAGCGGUGAAAUGCUUAGAUAUCACGAAGAACUCCGAUUGCGAAGGCAGCUGACUAAACUGCCACUGACAUUGAUGCUCGAAAGUGUGGGUAUCAAACAGGAUGAGAGACCCGUGUAGUC